GAGAAAGUGGAGCAUCCAUGAGUAAAGUGGCGUACGGGUGAGUAACACGUGGGUAAUCUACCUCUUAGUGGGGAAUAACCUGGGGAAACCCGGGCUAAUACCGCAUAAGCUCGAGAGAGGAAAGCAGCAAUGCGCUGAGAGAGGAGCCCGCGGCCGAUUAGCUAGUUGGGGAGGGUAAAAGCCCUACCCAGGGAAAGAUCGGUAGCCGGCCUGAGAGGGCACACGGCCACACUGGCACUGAAACACGGGCCAGACUCCUACGGGAGGCAGCAGUGGGGAAAUCUUGCACAAUGGGGGAAACCCUGAUGCAGCGACGCCGCGUGAGCGAUGAAGCCCUUCGGGGUGUAAAGCUCUUUCGGCAGGGAAGAUGAUGACGGUACCUGCAGAAGCAGCUGCGGCUAACUACGUGCCAGCAGCCGCGGUAAUACGUAGGCAGCGAGCGUUGUUCGGAGUUACUGGGCGUAAAGGGUGUGUAGGCGGUUCUUUAAGUUUGGUGUGAAAUCUCCCGGCUCAACCGGGAGGGUGCGCCGAAUACUGAGGGACUCGAGUGCGGGAGAGGAAAGUGGAAUUCCUGGUGUAGCGGUGAAAUGCGUAGAUAUCAGGAGGAACACCGGUGGGUGUAGACGGCUUUCUGGACCGUAACUGACGCUGAGACACGAAAGCGUGGGUAGCAAACAGGAUUAGAUACCCUGGUAGUCCACGCCCUAAACAUGCAUAUUUGGUGUGGGUCAUUCAGUUGAUCCGUGCCGGAGCUAACGCG
rnacentral:rRNA from 1 species